UACGUAGGGACCAAGCGUUGUCCGGAAUCAUUGGGCGUAAAGAGCGUGUAGGCGGCCUGUUAAGUCUUGCGUGAAAUCUCGGGGCUCAACCCCGAGCGGUCGUGAGAAACUGGCGGGCUAGAGUGCGGGAGAGGAGAGUGGAAUUCCUGGUGUAGCGGUGAAAUGCGCAGAUAUCAGGAAGAACACCCGUGGCGAAGGCGGCUCUCUGGAACGGUACUGACGCUGAGACGCGAAAGCGUGGGGAGCGAACAGG
rnacentral:rRNA from 1 species